UGGGGAAUAUUGCGCAAUGGACGAAAGUCUGACGCAGCAACGCCGCGUGAGGGAUGACGGCCUUCGGGUUGUAAACCUCUUUCAGCAGGGACGAAGCGAGAGUGACGGUACCUGCAGAAGAAGGACCGGCCAACUACGUGCCAGCAGCCGCGGUAAUACGUAGGGUCCGAGCGUUGUCCGGAAUUAUUGGGCGUAAAGGGCUCGUAGGCGGUUCGUCACGUCGGGAGUGAAAACUCGGAGCUUAACUCCGAGCCUGCUUCCGAUACGGGCAGACUAGAGGUAGGCAGGGGAGAGCGGAACUCCUGGUGUAGCGGUGGAAUGCGCAGAUAUCAGGAAGAACACCGGUGGCGAAGGCGGCUCUCUGGGCCUUACCUGACGCUGAGGAGCGAAAGCGUGGGUAGCGAACAGG
rnacentral:rRNA from 1 species